UGCCUGCCUCCGUUAUGAUCUGAGCACAGAAUCUGGCAAAACAGGACUGACUCUGGCCACAGGCUCUGGGCAUUCCAGCAGCACAGCCACUGGGCACAUUAAAAGCAAGGGUGAUGCUGCAAAACGUUUCACUGAGUUUGGGAAGUCCAUAGAAUGGGACAGCUGGGUGUUAGCAGCAGCUUGGCUCAUCUCAGGCACAGGCUCUGCUGCUGGUAUCCAUGAGGUGGCCCAAUGUGAAGCAGCCCCGGAGGCAGCCGGCUCAGGGCAGGCUGUGAGGGUCCCGUCCCAGCAGGCAGUUGGAGUGCAAGGAGCACCCAGUGGCUCCAGCUGGCCUCUGAGCCGCAGCCUCACCGCAUUUCACCCCAGCGCCACGUUGCCCCGUCUGAUUCCAUCUUCAGCUUCAUGCCUGCAGCAGCUGCUGAACUGCCUCUCCUUCCUUGUGAGCACGCUUGGGAACUGCGCCCGGCAGGGCUGCAGCUGGGAUAGCAAGAACCCAGGAUCCUCACUACAGGAGACACUUCCCAAGUGUGUAGCCUUGCUACUGAUGGAUCCUCGGGACAGCAGAAGGCUCCUUACAAGGACCUGGCCCAAGCCAGCAUUUCUGAAAUAAGGGGAGACUGUAACUUGGAGGUGAGGAAAACGCAGAGUCAUCCGUUUUGGGGCUCAGAGUCAGAGCUGGCACUCCAGAACAUCACACAUACCUUUCUGAUAAGCCUUGUGCGGGGGCAGCAGUGAUGGGGACCAGUCCUGUGUGCCACCCUCCAUGGUCCAGCAGGGUGCCCAGAAGCAGCUCUUAAGCUGCCUCUCCCUGGUCUGACAGCUCCCUUUCCCCGGUGGACGAGGGAAGACAGAAAGCUCUCCCAGCAGCACCUGGAAGACGACUUUCUCUCAGCUGGAGUGAGGGCUGUUGGGUUUUCUGGGGUCUCAUCAGCUAAGGCACCAACCGUUUCGGUACCCAGAGUGACAGCAGUCGAUCCAAGCACAUCUGCACCAUCUCUCCUUGCCCAUUUGCCCCAGGGGUGAGGCAGAAAAUACAGCAGUGCACAGGUGAAGCACCCUCGUCCUCAGCAGGCAGCAGGUCUACCCAGCAAAGAUCACACCAUGGUCCAGGCCAAUGAGCAGAGCACAAUCCCACUUCAGGACUUCAACGUUUCCUGGCACCCCUCUUGAGUCCUGCACCCAGUGCUGGACACACACCGUGGGCAGACAGAUGGCACUGAAACCUGACUUGUCUGCCUCCAGUCUCCUGAUUUCAGUUCUUUACUCCUUGCAAAAGUAGAAGCCUUCAUACAUCUCUGAGGCCUGUUCUGUUUAGGAGAGCUAACAUCUCCUCCAGAGCAGGGUUCUGGCUUUUCCUCUCUGGAAGAGCGAUGUUCGUCAAGUGCUGCAGAUAAAGCCCUGCGUCCUGCGGCACACAGUUGGCUUCUGUUGGCACUGUGGUGGCAUUGCCUCACUGCUGCUCUGCCAUCAGGUGCAGCUGACAGUUCCUGCUUGCUUUUGGCUCAUUUUUGUACAGCAGACCGAGACUGGUUCUUCUGGGCAACAUUCCCAAAGCAGUGCCUGCACCUGAGCUGCGAAGUUACCUUUAUUUUCUACCUGCAUAAUCUCUCCUAGGACCAUUGUAACACAAUGGAAAAGCGCAGCAGUGACAGCAGAGCAACAAGAUCCCAGGUUGCAGCAAGCAGGAAUAUACCCGAAUGCAACAGCAGUGAGCACAGAAACAAAGGCAAGAAGCUGCUUGCCUUCAAAAGAUCUUAAGGAUGCAGGAAUCUCAAGAGAGAUACCCUCACCCCCACUGCCAACCCUAGAUGAGGUCUGGAAGGGCUGCAUCGUGGCUCACCCCUUUCAUCACUCAGGUUCAUUGCACGCACCUGAGCUCCCCUGGGCUGGCCCUGCCUUCCCACCAGGUGCUCAAUCACUGCUUCAAGCUGUGACAGCAUUUCUGUUACAACCAUCAAUGUGGCUCCUCCAUCUAGGCCAGCUGCUCAGCUGCAGCAUAAUUGUUCCCAAUGAGAUCAGAGGCAUUGCUCAGGAAAUAUAGCUUCUGAUACAGAAUGCAGACAGAAUGGGGAGAAGGGAGAGAGCAAGAAAGAGCAAGGCAAGCAUGAGAUCUGCAGGGAGAAACCAUCACCAAGUCAACACCUUCAUAAGAAGAGAACUGCUCAAGGCACAGUAGAGUCCUCAACAGUCAAGCAUCAGAGAGUUAUAGAGUGCUUAGGGUUGGAUGAACCUCUGCAGCCUGCCUGGUCCAGCUCCCUCCCACAUGGCCUAGGGCAAUGUUCACAUAGCUGUUGAAUAUCUCCAAGAAGGAGACUCCAUAAUCUCUGCAAGAAACCUGUGUCAAUGCUCAAUCAUCUACAUGAUAAGGAACCCCAGCAGGUGCAGCAUCUUCUGCAGAUUAAUUAAGCACAGUGGCUGUUCCUUUGUGUGGAUGUGAGCAGCGCCAGGUGCAGGGCAGCCCUCCAGAAUCCAGAAUAUACAGCACAUCCAGAGCAAGGAAUUCAGCAGAGCCAGUGCCAACCAGCAUUCAUACAGCACUGGGAGCUAAGGGGAAGUCAGAGGCAUCAAGUGAAGUAUCCAUG